UACGGAGGGGGCUAGCGUUGUUCGGAAUUACUGGGCGUAAAGCGCGCGUAGGCGGCUUUGUAAGUUAGAGGUGAAAGCCCAGGGCUUAACCCUGGAAUUGCCUUUAAGACUGCAUCGCUAGAAUCGUGGAGAGGUGAGUGGAAUUCCGGGUGGAGUGGUGAAAUGCGUAGAGAUCCGGAGGAACACCAAAGGCGAAGGCAGUGUCCUGGGGAGUACCUGACGCUCAGGUGCGAAAGCCAGGGGAGCGAACGGG
rnacentral:rRNA from 1 species